rnacentral:rRNA from 1 species
UACGUAGGGUGCAAGCGUUGUCCGGAAUUAUUGGGCGUAAAGAGCUCGUAGGCGGUUUGUCACGUCGGCCGUGAAAACUCGGGGCUCAACCCCGAGCCUGCGGUCGAUACGGGCAGACUAGAGUGCUGUAGGGGAGACGUGGAAUUCCUGGUGUAGCGGUGAAAUGCGCAGAUAUCGGGAGGAACACCGGUGGCGAAGGCGGCCCUCUGGACGGAUACUGACGCUGAGGCGCGAAAGCGUGGGGAUCAAACAGG